UGCGCUUAGGGGACACACCCGUUCCCAUCCCGAACACGAUGGUUAAGACCUAAGCGGCCGAUGAUACUAUGCUGGAGACGGCAUGGGAAAGCAGGUGGAUGCCGGAU
rnacentral:rRNA from 1 species